ACGGUCACAUCGUUUCCCGUGCAACCACCGAAGUUAAGCAACGUAGAGGCUGGUCAGUACCUAGAUGAAUGACCGCUUUGGAAUAUCAGGUGCUGUAA